rnacentral:rRNA from 1 species
ACAAGCGGUGGAGCAUGUGGUUAAUUCGAAGCAACGCGAAGAACCUUACCAGGCUUGACAUCCCCUGACCGCGUAUGAAAGUACGUUUUCACCCUCGGGUGACAGGGAGACAGGUGGUGCAUGGUUGUCGUCAGCUCGUGUCGUGAGAUGUUGGGUUAAGUCCCGCAACGAGCGCAACCCCUACGUUUAGUUGCUAACGCGUGAAGGCGAGCACUCUAGACGAACUGCCGUUGACAAAACGGAGGAAGGUGGGAUGACGUCAAAUCAUCAUGCCCCUUAUGUUCUGGGCUACACACGUGCUACAAUGGCCGGUACAGACGGAGGCGAAGCCGCGAGGCGGAGCAAAUCCGAAAAAGCCGGUCUCAGUUCGGAUUGCAGGCUGCAAUUCGCCUGCAUGAAGUCGGAAUCGCUAGUAAUCGCAGGUCAGCAUACUGCGGUGAAUACGUUCCCGGGCCUU